rnacentral:rRNA from 1 species
UACAGAGGUCUCAACCGUUGUUCGGAUUCAUUGGGCGUAAAGGGCGCGUAGGCGGGUCUCCAAGUCGGUGGUGAAAUCUUUCGGCUCAACCGGAAAACAGCCGCCGAUACUGGGGGUCUCGAGGGAGGUAGGGGUCGAUGGAACUUCCGGUGGAGCGGUGAAAUGCGUAGAUAUCGGAAGGAACGCCGGUGGCGAAAGCGAUCGACUGGACCUUUUCUGACGCUGAGGCGCGAAAGCCAGGGGAGCAAACGGG